UCAUAUUUCCUAAGAUAGCAAACAAACAUAGAGAUCUACGUCAAGUUCACAAAAAUAGUCCUUGUUGAGGAGCUCUCUGACGUAUCAUCAUCACCUACACAUGAAGAAAAUCAAGCAUGUUCCUAUGGUGAUGAUGAUGAUGAUGGAUCAUUAACCCCAUCCAUGGUGUUUGACCAGAUCAUGCGACCUUCUCUGAUGCUACCAUUUCACAAACAUCUUUUACAUAGCCACUAUAGCAGCACCGGUUAUCGGAUGCCCCGAACUUCGAGAAAACGGUCUCCACGGCUACAAAUGUGAUACUUGCGGCUUCGCCGUCCACAAAGAAUGUUUAGAAUCAUCACCAGAGAUCAACCAUCCGUCUCACAAGAGACAUCCUCUCACGCUCCUAACACAUGGCUUACCACUAGUAGCUGAAGAUGACAAAUAUCGUCUAUGUGGAGAAAAGGUUGUAUCUACUUACCACGCGUCAUUAGCAUUAUACGCCAUGUACAUCGUAUCCCCCGCACUUAUUUUCUUGGUCAUGGAGAAUGGAAAUGAGGAGUUUGUCGCAGAAGAAUAGAUGGGAGAUAUGGGGCGUAUGCUUGCUUGAUUUGUCCGGAUUACGCAGUUCAUUCAAGAUGUGCCACGAGGAGGGAUGUGUGGGAAGGGAGAGAACUCGAGGACGAGCCUGAAGAAAAUGAUGAAUGUGAAGAACCUUUUAGAGUUGCGUUGCAGAGCAUGCGUCCGUCCUGUCUACUCUGACAUUUUCUACAGUUGUAUGCAAUGUGAAGAUUUUGUCCUCCACGAAACGUAUGCUAACCUUCCUCGAAAGAAGCGACAUGUACUUCACAAUCAUCAACUUACGUUAUACCUUGACGACAACAUAGUCAUGGAUUUUCUGAUGCUUAGUGGAGCAUUCUUAUGUUCUGCUUGUCACCGACUCUGUAGUGGUUUCAGGUACGAAUGUUGCAAUAUCAUAUUAGAUGUACGAUGUGGUUCGAUAUCCGAACCAUUUUUCUAUGAUUGUCAUCAGCAUCCUUUGUUCCAAAAUU